AUCAACGCUGGCGGCGUGCUUAACACAUGCAAGUCGAACGUGAAAGUAGCAAUAUGAGUAAAGUGGCGUACGGGUGAGUAACACGUGGGUAAUCUACCUUAGAGUCUGGAAUAACCUGCCGAAAGGCGGGCUAAUACUGGAUAGAUCAAGCGCAUUAUAAAGGUGCGAUUGGGAAAGGGAGCUCGUAAGAGCCUUCGCUUUAGGAUGAGCCCGCGUCUGAUUAGCAGUUGGUAAGGUAAUGGCUUACCAAGGCGACGAUCAGUAGCUGGUCUGAGAGGAUGAUCAGCCACACUGGAACUGAAACACGGUCCAGACUCCUACGGGAGGCAGCAGUGGGGAAUCUUGCGCAAUGGACGAAAGUCUGAC
rnacentral:rRNA from 1 species